UUUAGGAUUGUUCUGCUUUCUUUAAUUAAUCUAGGUUUAAAAGGUACUUAAUUUUAUGGUGUUCUUUAGUCUAUUUUUGCAUCAUGUGAUAUGUCCUGUAUUUUUACUCUAAGUUUAAAAGGUACUUAAUUUUGUGGUGUUCUUUAGUCUAUUUUGUGGUGUUCUUUUAAGGUAUAUCUGAAACAAUCUUGAUAUAUUUGAAAAUCUUGAGACUAAAUUUUAUAUUAUGAUUUUCAUGAAGGAGAAAGCAAGACUUGAAGAGUAACAGUGGAGGUGGAGCUCUGCCACAUCCCAAUAGUUCGAUUUAAUCUUGGUGUUGUGAAAGGAGAGAUAGAUAUGAGCAGCUGUUUGUUCACUAGAAGAAAUUACCUAGAGACUUCUCAAUUUAUAGGCACACAUUCAAUUUCAAACUCUUGCCUAAAUUUGCUGGAAGUUUUGGUUUAACUUAGUAUUCUUCUCAAUUCAAGUCACUGUUCAAAAACUUGCAACCGGAGCUCAACUGUAUUCGGUGCCAAAAGUUGGAUUGCUCCCGCGUGUCGAUGAUAAUGGCGUUAUUGUCCCAAGACAUGUUCCCUGAAGUUAUUACCAAAAUUCUGUCUCAUCUAGCUGUAAGCUUGUGUUUUCAAACUGCUAUGUAUUUUGUGAGAAACAAGCUAUCGAAAAACCAUUUGUAUGGCCCAUGUCUUCCAAUUUCGUAGUUGUCUUAUAUGAGUUUUUGUUAGAUUCUUUUGCUUGGCGGGAUUGGAAAAGGUGGGAGAAGGAGAUCCCAAGUCUCAUUUUUUCUUCACAAAACUUACAUUCAAAAUCAAUGCACUGCCAGAACUGUACUUAGUUGUUGUUGAUAUUUAAUUCUUAAAUUAAAUUUCAUUAGUGCCCCUAUAUUGAUACUCUUUUUUGAUGUUUUACACUUUUCUUAUACAGAAAUUUAAUAUGAGCAGUAAGGAUUUGGAUUAUUUCUUUGGAGGCCCUGCAUUCCUAGCAUGGUCUCGUAUGGGAAAUUUUCAUGGGUGAGUUAACGAGUAGCUGAACUAAGUGAACUCAUUUAUAAUUUAUGAUAUAGCGAGUAUAUAAUAAUGUGUAUAUUUUUUUUUAAUAUUCUUAUUAUUUUUUUUAUAGUAUUCAUUGGAUUAGAUUACUUUAGUAAGAAAAAUAAAAACUUUCCAUGAGAAUAAGUACUGGUUAGGAAACUCAUAAAUGCACAUGGUUAUAUUAUGGAUGUGAAGAGCAAGAGUCAUCGAAUAAUGAAUCUUAUCUUAAUCAUCAUAAAAAUAAUAUUAAUAAUUAUUUUUACAGAAAUAUAGGUUGUUUAUCCAAAAAACUACGGAGAAAACAUGGAGAAUUCAAUUGUAUGUAGAUUCAAAACGAACAAUGAGUCUAAAGUACAAUCAAUUCACCAUUCAAGCAGCUGAGCCGAUGGAAGAUUAGGAAGAAGUUUUACUAUACUCUUUUUAGUUUUUCUAAUAAUAUUAUAUAUUAAGACUUUAUUUAAUAAUUUUUUUUCUAUUUUAAGAUCGCACAUUUUUUUAAAUUUUUGUUAAAUAAUAUUUGCUUUAAAUUUUGUCAAACACAUCUAUUGUUUCUUUAAAUUUUCUAUAAGUAAAUAAUAAAUAUUAUUUUCAUAUAUUGUUAUGACUUAUAUAUACACAAUUAUAUUUUACUAACCAAAUAUAAUAACACAACUAUUACUCUAAUAAAACAAUCAUUCACAUAAUCAUUACUUUUAGUUACAACAAUUUAAAUAAAAAUAAAUAACUAAACUUUAAAUAAAAUUAAUAUUUACGUGCCUCGGAACGUAACUUCUACCUAGUAAAUAUUAAAUAUACAUAUAUAUAAAUAUACAAUAAUUUAUCUUUAGUUUGAACUCAUUACUCAUUAAAUACAUUAAUCAUAGUGAUCUUAGGCUUAAGAAAUUUAUUAGCACCCCAAAAAAAUUAAAAUAAGGUUGUUGAGACUUUAUAUUCUAAGUUUUUUGAGGAAACUUUCAACAAAACAAAUUAAUUAAGAAUUUAUUAAAAAAUAAAUAAAAAUCGCAAACAUAUAAAUAUCUCUCUUAUAAUUUUUCGUUUAUUCAAGACAUUAUAAUUUUGCGGCCCAUAAUAUGAUUAAGUGGACUUUCGCUAAAAAUGUUACU